UCCGCCAUUUCCGCGGUCACACUGGUCACUUUGUCAAUCAAAAUAUUAGAAAAACUCCGUUUCCGCCUCGAAAGUGCUUCUCGGGAUCGUGCGAAAGUGUUAAAAAGCGAGCGAUCGGUUCGUGGCUACAAAGAGCGCUAGGGGGCGAUGAAAAUCAAGCAGAAACACACCGUUUUUCGUUCUUAAACUUUUACUUACGGCAGACACGCACACGCACGCACCUCACCGACGCACACUCGCACACACACUCAAACACACACAGACACGCACGCGGAGAGAAGAGCGCCAGCAGCGAGAAGAAGAAGAAGCGGGAGACCAUCAAACUUACAAUUUGCGAGAUUCCUUGGCACCGAAAGGCUGAGAGGACGAAUUGCACCCGCCCGGCACACAGCACACAGCAUGUUCAGUGGACAUGGGCGGAUUCCUGGAUAAGCCGAAAACCGCCAAGCACAAUGACCAGGGCGAGGGCAACAAGCUGCUCUUCGGGGUCAGCUCGAUGCAGGGCUGGCGGUCGGAGAUGGAGGACGCCUACUACGCUCGUGCCGGGCUGGGCGAUGUCCUGCAGGACUGGAGCUUCUUCGCGGUCUUCGACGGGCAUGCGGGUUGCAAGGUGUCGGAGCACUGUGCCAAGCAUCUGCUGGACAGCAUCGUCAGCACCGAGGAGUUCAUUGGCGGCGACCACGUGAAGGGCAUUCGCACCGGCUUCCUGCGCAUCGACGAGGUGAUGCGGGAUCUGCCGGAAUUCACCCAGGAGACGGAGAAAUGCGGCGGCACCACCGCCGUCUGCGCUUUUGUCAGCCUCACGCAGGUGUAUAUCGCCAACUGUGGGGACUCCAGGGCCGUUCUAUGCCGCCAGGGAGUUCCGGUGUUCGCCACGCAGGACCACAAGCCCAUUCUGCCCGAGGAGAAGGAGCGCAUCCACAAUGCCGGCGGCAGUGUUAUGAUAAAGCGCGUCAACGGCACCCUGGCCGUGUCGCGAGCCCUCGGCGACUACGACUUCAAGAACGUCAAGGAGAAGGGGCAGUGCGAGCAGCUGGUGUCGCCGGAGCCGGAGAUAUUCUGCCAGAGCCGCCAGGACAGCGACGAGUUCCUGGUGCUCGCCUGCGACGGCAUCUGGGACGUGAUGACCAACGAGGACGUGUGCAGCUUCAUCCACUCGCGCCUGCGGGUGACCAGCGACCUGGUGAGCAUCGCCAACCAGGUGGUGGACACCUGCCUGCACAAGGGCAGUCGCGAUAACAUGAGCAUCAUCAUCAUCGCCUUCCCCGGAGCCCCGAAGCCCACCGAGGAGGCGAUAGAAGCUGAGCAUCGGCUGGAGAAGCAAAUCGAGAAGAUCACAAGAGACGAGAUAGAGUCUAGCAAUAUAACCGACUACGUGGAUCUGCUGAAGUGUCUGCAGAACAGAGACGACAUCGAAGGUCUUCCUCCCGGAGGCGGCCUGCAGUCCAAAUAUCACAUUAUCGAGCGCACAUUCAAGCAAGAGUUUCCGGAUCGACCAUGUGAUCUGUAUGCAUAUGAUGAUAUAUGAAUUUUGUAAUGCUAACUGUUCAUUUUUUAAACCAACCAACAACCAACCAACCAGCAAGAGAACAAAGAUAACUAAACACCCUAUGCUUCACAUAUACUCUAAAUAGUCCAACGCAUUAGGUUGCAGUCGAAACACUAAA